UACGGGGGGGGCAAGCGUUGUUCGGAAUUACUGGGCGUAAAGGGCGCGUAGGCGGCCUUCUAAGUCGGACGUGAAAUCCCUCGGCUUAACCGAGGAACUGCGUCCGAUACUGAAAGGCUUGAAUCCGGGAGAGGGAUGUGGAAUUCCAGGUGUAGCGGUGAAAUGCGUAGAUAUCUGGAGGAACACCGGUGGCGAAGGCGGCAUCCGGGACCGGUAUUGACGCUGAGGCGCGAAAGCUAGGGGAGCAAACGGG
rnacentral:rRNA from 1 species